rnacentral:rRNA from 1 species
UACAGGGGGGGCAAGCGUUGUCCGGACUUACUGGGCGUAAAGGGUGCGUAGGCGGCCUGCUGCGUCGGUGCUGAAAGCGCCCGGCCUAACCGGGCGAGGCGUGCCGAUACGAGCGGGCUGGAGCCUUGGCGAGGGUGGCGGAACUCCUGGUGUAGUGGUGAAAUGCGUAGAGAUCAGGAAGAACACCCGUGGCGCAAGCGGCCACCUGGCCAAGAGCUGACGCUGAGGCACGAGAGCGUGGGGAGCGAACCGG